GGUUCUCAGUGCUGGGACAUUGCCUUCACUGUGAGGGCAGACCAAUAAGACGUUUUUCUUUUAAGCUACCUCUUUUCAGUAGGGCGGAUUCUUCCAGUUGCUAGGGAGAAAUUGUGGCAACUGGAGUGAGGGAGUAGGAACAGGGAAAAAACAAA